rnacentral:rRNA from 1 species
AACGAACGCUGGCGGCAGGCUUAACACAUGCAAGUCGAGCGCCCCGCAAGGGGAGCGGCCGACGGGUGAGUAACGCGUGGGAAUCUACCCAUCUCUACGGAAUAACGCAUGGAAACGUGUGCUAAUACCGUAUACGUCCUUCGGGAGAAAGAUUUAUCGGAGAUGGAUGAGCCCUCGUUGGAUUAGCUAGUUGGUGGGGUAAAGGCCUACCAAGGCGACGAUCCAUAGCUGGUCUGAGAGGAUGAUCAGCCACACUGGGACUGAGACACGGCCCAGACUCCUACGGGAGGCAGCAGUGGGGAAUAUUGGACAAUGGGCGCAAGCCUGAUCCAGCCAUGCCGCGUGAGUGAUGAAGGCCCUAGGGUUGUAAAGCCCUUUCACCGGUGAAGAUAAUGACGGUAACCGGAGAAGAAGCCCCGGCUAACUUCGUGCCAGCAGCCGCAAUAAUAC